rnacentral:rRNA from 1 species
GCAGCAACGCCGCGUGAGGGACGACGGCCUUCGGGUUGUAAACCUCUUUUGGCAGGGAAGAAGCGAAAGUGACGGUACCUGCAGAAAAAGCACCGGCUAACUACGUGCCAGCAGCCGCGGUAAUACGUAGGGUGCAAGCGUUGUCCGGAAUUAUUGGGCGUAAAGAGCUCGUAGGCGGUUUGUCGCGUCUGCUGUGAAAACGCGAGGCUCAACCUCGCGCCUGCAGUGGGUACGGGCAGACUAGAGUGCGGUAGGGGAGAUUGGAAUUCCUGGUGUAGCGGUGGAAUGCGCAGAUAUCAGGAGGAACACCGAUGGCGAAGGCAGAUCUCUGGGCCGUUACUGACGCUGAGGAGCGAAAGCGUGGGGAGCGAACAGGAUUAGAUACCCUGGUAGUCCACGCCGUAAACGUUGGGAACUAGAUGUGGGGUCCAUUCCACGGAUUCCGUGUCGCAGCUAACGCAUUAAGUUCCCCGCCUGGGGAGUACGGCCGCAAGGCUAAAACUCAAAGGAAUUGACGGGGGCCCGCACAAGCGGCGGAGCAUGCGGAUUAAUUCGAUGCAACGCGAAGAACCUUACCAAGGCUUGACAUGCACCUGAAAAGGCUGGAAACAGUCUCCUCGCAAGAC